UUUGAAAUAAGAACACAAAGAUUUAUCCUGGUUGGAACACCAAUGUGGCGCCUCUUUAAGUCCCCUUGGGUUUCAAUGUUUCCUUUGAUCUUUUCAAAGUGGAGUCGGAGUUCAAGAGAAGUAAACAAGUUCUGAAACUUAUUUUGAUUUUUAGAUCUUGUGACACAGCCUCAAUCGAUAUGACUAAGUUGACUGGAUCUUACUCUUGUGUAUCUAUAGAAAACUAAGAAGAACAAAGCUUUAUGGAGACAAAGAUUGAGACACACUAAGAAUUUCCUUUGAAGCUGCAUGCAUGCUUCGACCUUCAGUCUUUUCUUUUAUACUCUUCAACUGCUCCGACUUCUUUUCUUCAUAAGGAAACUCAUGGCAUUUAUUCUCAAUCAAGGAUCUAAAUUGAUUCCUUUAUUGAGGGAUCCUUGAUUGAGGGACGGCACCGUAUGGUAUGUCCAUAUUAGAUAUGUCCAUACGUGAUGCAACCUUGUUUUCAUAGCCGUACAUAUCCAUAUCAGAUAUGUCCAUGUAGAAGGUGUGGUCUUCUUGCCCUUUUCUUUUGUCAUGAUUGAUUCAUUUGCCUUAUAUUUGGAGAUCCAAUAAGAUCCAUGAUUGAUGCUAAUUCCAAGUUCAGCGCUGGCUUCCUUGUUAGUGGAGGCUUGCUUCCUUUUGCGGGAUAUUCUUGAAGAUUCUAGGAUAUCCUAGAUUGAUUCCUUCGUGAUCCUUUUUUGAUCAACUGUAUCUUCAGUGUAUCCUACGAAAUAUUUACUUAUUAAUUUGUCGUUAUUAAAACAUAUUAUGAGAAUGUGGGGCUAAAAAUUGCAUGCUUGAGAGCAGGAGAAGAGAAAUUGUAGAAGAAAUGGCUACAAAAGAGUUGUAUAAGGUACUCAACAUCACAAAUCUAGACCAUUUCAUAAGUACGGUGAUAUUUAUAGGCACUGAAAUAUGUUAUUUUAAGAGUGCCUUUUGGUCACUAUUGUCCUGCAAUAGCCAUCCGCGUUAUUGCUAGCUUUUGUCACCUGUAGGGCUACAUCUUCUGAGUCGCAUAACAACAACAAUACAUAAAUAUAGUUCCAUAGUUGAGGUUUGAGGAGAAUAAGAUAUUCACAAAACUUAUCCCUACCUUUGUAGCAUAGAAAGAAUAUAUUUUAAGCGUGGUUGCAAGAAAAAUAUAACAACAAAUGAUCAAGAUACAAAACAAAUGAAAUAAUACAUAAUAAAACAGAUCGAAGCUACAAAUUCUAAAUACUACUGAUAAUAUGACUCCUCGGAGAUGGGGCUAUACCCUGCCUCUCCCACCUCAUGAAGGGUAUCAUUAAUUAAUUCUCCACUAUCUACUAACCUUUAUCCAAACCCUCGACUUCCUCACCUUCCUAGCCAUCUAGGGUCAUGCCGUCAGUAACUCUUCUAUAAAAAUCCUAUUAUUUCAUAUUCCUCAUCAUAAACUUUUUAAGAAAUAUUUUUUAAAUCUUUGAGACUGCUUCAAAUAAAGAAGCUAGCUGCCAAUUAUGUAGAUAAGCAUUAAUGGGAGUAUGUAUUGCCCUUAAUAAAUAUUUUUUUCCAUUAGAUAAAAUUGCAAUUAUAAGUAAUAAUCUAUUUCUAAAAAAAACUUCAUUAUUGACUAUUUAGGUAAAUUUAGAAGCUGAAUAAAGUUCUAAACGAACACAAAUUUUUUUUAUUUUGGCUGUCAAUUAAAGGGUUGUUUAAUUAUUUGUUUUAGUAUACAAUUUUUUAAAGAAAAUAUUAGAUUGCCUCAAGACUUCACAGCUAUACAUUCUUCUCAUGUUUGCACCAUGCUGUGAUGUAUUGUGAUUGAACUGUUUACAACAUUUAUGUGGAAGUUGAAUUAUCAAAUUCUAUUAUCCACCGCAACUCCACCUUGAACUUGAGAUAAAGAUCAAGGUAAGUUUUGUCGUUGUACUCUCUGCCAGACCCCACCUAUAACUACGAGAUUACAACAAUCUCUAUAUACUCAAGGUGUAAAAAAGCUUUUCCUAAGUUAUACUCUCCUUAUAAACCACCUGUGAGAUUACAUUAAUCUAUACCAUAUUUGAAUAGAUUAUUAUUUUGACCAACCAACAAAUAUAUAUAAAAAAUCUAUCAAAAUUAUCUUACUUUAAAUUGUCCAAAUUUUACACAGAUUCAUCUUUUGUCAUUACUUCGAGUGUAUCACUAGAGUGAUUAUCAGAUUCAUACAAGGUCGGCUGGAGGCCAAAGGCACUAAAGCAUAGGCUUUAGGCCUCUCAUAAUUUGAGGCCCCAUUUUUUAUGUUUUUAAUUAGUUUUAGAUUUUUUUAUUUCAAAGUAUAUUUACUUUCUUAAAAAAAUAAAGAACAAAAUCUAUAUAGGAAAGAGAAGUACUUAUUAAUAUGUGAUUAAUGAUUACAGUUAGAUCAUUUAAUUUUAUAUGAAUGAUAUUCUCUUCUUUUUAUCUUUCUCGUAAUAAAGUUUAUACUAUUCUCCAAAAAUAUCAUGAUAACAUUGAAAAAAUAAAUUACAUAUUCCUUUAAUUUUUUCAAACAUUGCAGUAAGCAAAUUCAACUAGUAGAAUAUUAUACUUCCAAAAGGAAUUUCAUUGUUUUAACUUAUUAUUAUAAUUUUUUUAUGCUAGAAAAAUCUAAGACCUCUUAUAAAGUUUGACUUUAGGCCACAAAUAUCAUUGAGCCACCUCUGGAUUCAUAGUCAUAUAUAUUUGUGAUUGAGUUGUUGUGCUAACAAUUAAGCAAAAUACUGUGUUCUUGUAACACCCCGCAUUUCUGGCUAGAAUAAAAAUCAUGACUCUGAGCAUUGAUAAUCCCAGAGCCUUAAAUACUAUGCCAAUAUGGCAUGUUUAUGUAGUAUGUGAAUCCAUUUGAGCAUGAAUUUAUACCAUAGAGGUCCUUCAACUCAAGGACGAGUUGAAACUAUUUCAAUCGAUUAAGUUUUAGUGGACGUUGUAAUUUGUGUCAGCUUUCAUCGACCAUAACUCUCUGUAUAUGUUGAAUUAGAGAGCUUACUAUGUGUCAAAUAAUAUUUCUUUGAGUUAACUUUCCAAUGAUACCAAUUUUGCUAAAAUCCGACACCCGAGCAAGAAGUUAUGGCCUUUCAAAGUAGUAUGCGUCACCUAACCAAUCACACAUGACCACUGGAAAGCAUAUGCGAUAGCAUAUGCGGCGCCUGUGUAAAUAUAGGCGAUAUCAUAUGCGGCGCCUAUGUAAAUAUAGGCGAUAUCAUAUGCGGCGCCUAUGUAAAUAUAGGCGAUAUCAUAUGCGGCGCCUAUGUAAAUAUAGGCGAUAUCAUAUGCGGCGCCUAUGUAAAUAUAUGGUUUCAAGUGACUUAAACACUCCGUUUUUGGAGCAAAAUGGUCCUUUUCCCACCCUUAUUCAUCCAUAAAUACGAAAUUCAGUCUCCAAUUCUCCGAAAUACAUCCACAUCCAUCUAAAAAUUCUCAAGAACACUCCUAACGGUUUCAAACUAAAAAACCAAAUAAAUCAAGAUUUAAUUGUGGGUUUUCAAAAUUGAUUAGAGAUUCGGAAUCCCCAAUCCACAGGCUUCAAGAAGCACCUAUUAUUUUCCAAAAUAGAGGUACGCGAGGCUUUCCUAAAUUCUCAUGGGCAUAGGAAAAUCAUGUUUUAGAAUGGGGUUUUUGAAUCUAUGUAUAUAUUCAUGUAUUAAAUAUUUUAACAUCAUUGUUUUGGUCUUUUGACCUUCCCCAAAGUGAUUUGAGAAUAUGAAUAUAUGAAACCAUGUAUUUAAGAAUGAAUUCUUGUUGAGAGCAUGAUUUUCAGUGAAUUCCCUCUUAUAAUGAAUUUUUAAGACUUCUCAUAGCAUAUGAAUUGUUUUGCAAUGUUUCCUUGAAAAGCACUAUAUGAAAUGAUUGAACUGUUGUUGUGAUUUUAGGGUGUCUGCGAAAUCGCAUUAGGUAGAGUCUUGUUUAUGGGUGUGUAGCGCGCCACACUUAUAACCAAAAGGAUACAAGGCGUUUAGUAAUGUCUCUCUUUCUUCAUGUUCUAGUUCAUGCUAUAGAGUCAGAAUGUUCCUCCUUCAUACUCUAUUUCAUGCUAUGGUGUCACCCAUAUGAAAAGAAAAGUUAUCCUAAUUUCUACCUCACUCUGGUGUUUUCAGAUAUUCUUUGAUUAUCUAGCAGAAAUUUCAAAAGUCCCAUAAAGAACGGGAGAGGAGUUCCCUAGUGUAAAAUUGUGUCCUCAUUCUUAUGAGGCGUUCAGUUAAGACAAGAGUAAGAUGUGUAUUCUUGAGUCAUUGAACAUUAUGUAUCAAACUUCUAUCUCUUGUAAUCUUGAUAUCAUUGUGUUGUUGAAAANNNNNNNNNNNNNNNNNNNNNNNNNNNNNNNNNNNNNNNNNNNNNNNNNNNNNNNNNNNNNNNNNNNNNNNNNNNNNNNNNNNNNNNNNNNNNNNNNNNNNNNNNNNNNNNNNNNNNNNNNNNNNNNNNNNNNNNNNNNNNNNNNNNNNNNNNNNNNNNNNNNNNNNNNNNNNNNNNNNNNNNNNNNNNNNNNNNNNNNNNNNNNNNNNNNNNNNNNNNNNNNNNNNNNNNNNNNNNNNNNNNNNNNNNNNNNNNNNNNNNNNNNNNAAUGUUAUUUGUUUUCUUCCUUUCAAAAUAGAGAAAGAGCCCAGAGUGGAUACUUAAGGUGGUUAUAGAAACCCCUUAUAGGCUAUGAAUGAAAAUGACUAGAUUAGCCAGUAGGUUGUAAGUAUAGACUCAUUGUCAUAUGGGGUAUCUAAAGGUAGUCUAUAUGCCCAUUGGGGUAAGUAAGUGUUAUGUGUGAAAGCCAUAUAAGUAGAUAAGAUUGUAGGGUUAUAAUAUAAGCUUAAGGUUGAUCAUGUCUAUUAUGUGACCUUACCCCUUAACCUUCUUCUCAUUGGUAGUUGUAAACUAAUACUACUUGUGAGAAAGUAUGUAGUAUAUUUUUGAAGUAUUUGGGUAGAAUAUCCCAAUUUGAAGGAUGAGUAUAUUUAUAUUAUGUUGCACUCUUCAUUAGUUGUAAAUGAUUGAUGCUAGACUAUAGGCUUAAAUUUAAAUUAUAUGGUGGUGAAUAGUGGCAAGAGAUUGAUGAUACAUGUUUCGUGGGAUUAGAUUUGUAAGCUUGAUGUGUUGAAAUAGUACAUGCUAAUGGAUUAUGAAAAGGAAAACUGUAAGGUCAUGAUCGAUUAUUGUGGUUAUGAAUUUCUAGUGUACUAGUAUUUCUUGAUGUUUAUUUCAUAGUUUCUAAGUGAGAAUUGUGUGUAAGGUUGGUUGUUAAUCAUGUUUAGCACUAGACAUUAAGUUUAAAACAAUUGAUGGCCAUGGAGGUGGAUGUGAUGAUUUCUUGGUUAAUGAUACUAGUUAUAUGGAAGUGAUCUAUAGGCUUGAACAAUGUAUGCAAGUGCCUAAGUUUAUUUGAUUCGUAAUGAAGUAUGGCGGUGUAUAUGUGAUGUAGAAGUAUGCCCAAGGUGGUAUGAAGUUGUAGUAUUUUUCUAUGGUUAUUACAUGUUGUGUGUGGCUGCUGGUACCGUUGAGUUGCUAGGUGGAAAAAGACUAGGUAGAUGGUAUAUGGUGUUCUAAAUAUCCAAGUUAAGGACCUUUAAUAGAUAGCGUUGAGCCUUUUGAUAUGAACUUGAUUCUCAUGGUAGAGGAAAAUAAGUUUGAAGUUGCUAUGUUGGUAGACUACGAUAGAAAUAGAGUGGCUCAUUGAAGACUUGGUGAUACCCAUGUUAGGUGUUAUAACCUAAGCUCUAGUCCUUGAAAGUCGUGCUAAUAGAAAUAAGAGUAGAGAUACUAGAGGGUGUGCACUUCAACUUUAGGGAUACUCAUGAAGAUUCAAAAUUAGUAAGUGUUCGAGUAAUAGAUGAUGACUAUUGGGGUUACAGAAUGAUAGAGUGUGCCUCAGGAGGAAGUAGUAGCAGUGGGCGUUCCACUCUCAUAUGUGGUCUUUCGGGUUAAUUUUUAUUAAUUUUGUGUAUUGUCAUAUUUCAGAACCCAGACUGCAGUGAGUGUAGUUAAGUUUAAAGUCUAGUAAGGUAUCUCCCAAAAACUUAAGAUGAUGUCUUGAAGCUAAGGGGGAGAUAACUAAACGAAUCACUAAGUAAGACUCUCAUAUUCUUGUAGUGAUGUCAUGAUGAUAUAGAACAUCAAAAAGUAAGGGUGAACCUCAACCCAUUCCUAUCUCAGUAUUUCUCAGUGAUCCUAAUACCUACUCAUGCUUUACGAUUUAGUUCCAUGAGCAGUUCACGUUCAUACAUAUGAUAGAGAGUCAUGUACUCACGCUUUAUAAUGUGCUCCGUUUCCAUAACUCAUGUUUUACGCCAAAUGAUUGGCGAGAUUCAGCUUAUAUCCAUGAAUACCCUAAAUUCAGAGUGCUUUGGUGAGUCCCUGUUGUUGUUUUACUCUUCCUCAAGCUUGAGAUGAGUGUCAAGCUUCAUAUAGUAUCAUUCCAUGCCUCCAGAUCUUAUGUUCUAACCUUUUUGUGACUCCUCCUUAUGCGAUGACAGUGGUGGUGAGUAAGUAUUCCUUGUUGAUAGAAGAUCAUAGUACGCUUGUUUAGAUAAGGCCAUAAGUAUGAAGUAAGAUUUGGGGCCAAGUUUUUAUUUAUGCGAUGGUUAGUGGAAUUUUGUAUGUGUAUUUUCUUGGGGUAUCACGUGGGAGUGAUAUUGAUAGUGGUUUAGAGAAUAUGUGAAGUAUGCCUUUAUGAGUGUUUGCUUUGAAGUUCAUAUGUGGUUAUAAAGAUAGGCUUGAAUGACAUGUUGAGAUUGUUGUAAAGGAACGGUAUAUGCGCUAGUGAAGUAAGAGUUUUCAGAGUAGAUUGAAGUGAUAAGGCAUGUUAUACUUAGGAUGUGAUCUUUAAAGGAGAUAUAGAAGAUUGCAUCAUAUGGUUUAGAAUAAUAGCGUGGUUUGGCAUGUUGUAUUUUUAUGACUUAGAGUUAGGCUUGAUCACGGUGAAGGGAUUAAGUUUUUUCCGACAUGAGUAGAAAGAUUUGUCAAUGCUCAUAUGAGAAUUUUAAGCUGAGUUGAAUGAAUAUGAUAUUUAAGGAGAAUUGUAUAGUUAAAUGAUAUUCGAGAAGUGUGUUAAGUUUGAAAGUAAGAAGUUGUAAUGCCAAAGUCCUGGUAAUUCUAUCCUAAUUCAGGAGUUAUAUGCCUAUGUUCCAGACUGCAGAGUAGUGUCAAUGUGGUGAUUCCUCAGUUGGACGUCUUGUGUAAUCUAUACCCAAGAUUCAUGGCUCCCUAUUACUUCUAGAAUUUCUGUAGAGAAUUGUGAAAAAGAGAUACUCCAGUUAAGUAUGAGGGUGUAGUAUAAUUCAGUCUAUAUGGCUAAUAAGUCAGUUUAGUAGUUAGAUUCGCAUGACUUGUUUUCUCGUCUUUGCACUUAUUCAUGCUACUCGAAAUUUCAGACAUGCUACUAUUCUAAGAUAGAGUAUACCAGUAGUUACGAUUAUAGCCCAUUUCAUGCAUCAUGCAUUAAAUUCAGAUUCCAGAUAUUCAGUUAUGAUUCAAUUAGUAGGUGCCCUGUGCAUCGCCUCAAUUUUCUAAGUAUCUUAGUGAAUUGAGCAUUCAUAGAGGGACAUAGGGUACCAAUGGGGAGAUACCCCAUUCAGUUGCAUGCAUAGAUUCUUAUAACAAGCUUCAAAUUAGUUAUUAUUGCGUAUUUAGCCAUACGUUCAUACGUUAGUUCAGUCAAAUAUGCAUGCAUUAGAAAUGCAUGUUCAAUAGAAAAGUUCAUCUUAUCAGUGUAUUUAGUCCUGCAAGAGAACAACUUGGUCAUAGAUCCAUGCAUCAGAUAUGCAUGAUUCAUUAUGAGAAUUCAGCCUAUGAGUAGCUUCAUUUGUGUAUUCCAUGCCUCGGAUAUGCAUGCCUGGCAUAAGCAUUUAAAACAUCAGUAGUUCCAAUCUUAUAGUCAUGUUUUCGAUCAGACUAUUCUUUCAUAGGGAACAUAUCAUGUCCGCGUUAUCCCAUACCCUUAAGACUUCGAAAUUCUAUCCAUCAUUCGAGGACAAAUGAUCCCAAGAGGGAGAUAAUGUAACACCCCGCAUUUCGAGCUAGAAUAAAAACCAUGACUCUGAUGCGUUGAUAAUCCUAGAGCCUUAAAUCAUAUGCCAAUUUGGCAUGUUUAUGUAGUAUGUGAAUCCAUUUGAGCAUGAAUUUAGACCAUAGAGGUCCAUCAACUCAAGGACGAGUUGAAACUAUUUCAAUCGAUUAAGUUUUAGUGGACGUUGUAAUUUAUGUCAGCUUCCAUUGACCAUAACUCUCUGAAUAUGUCGAAUUAGAAAGCCUACUAUGUGUCAAAUGAUAGGUCUUCGAGUUAACUUUCCAACGAUAUCAAUUUUGCUAAAAUCCGACACCCAAGCAAGAAGUUAUGACCUUUCAAAGUAGUAUGCGUCGCCUAACCAAUCGGACAUGGCCACUGGAAAGCAUAUGCGAUAGCAUAUGCGGCGCCUAUGUAAAUAUAGGCGAUAUCAUAUGCAGCACCUAUGUAAAUAUAGGUGAUAUCAUAUGUGGCGCCUAUGUAAAUAUAGUCCAUAUAAUAUGCUGCGCAUAUCUUAUCGCUUCAAGUGACUUAAACACCCCGUGUUUGGGGCAAAAUGGUCCUUUUCCCACCCUUAUUCAGCCAUAAACACGAAAUUUAGUCCCCAAUUCUCCAAAAUACAUCUACAUCCAUCUAAAAAUUCUCAAGAACACUCCUAAGGGUUUCAAACUAAAAAACCAAAUAAAUCAAGGUUUAACCAUGGAUUUUCAAAAUUGAUUAGAGAUUCGGAAUCCCCAAUCCACAGGCUUCAAGAAGCACCCAUUAUUUUUCGAAAUAGAGGUACGUGGGGUUUUCCUAAAUUCUCAUGGUCAUAGAGAAAUCAUGUCUUAGAAUGGUGUUUUUGAAUCUAUGUAUAUAUUCAUGUAUUAUUUGUUUUAACAUCAUUGUUUUGGUCUUUUGACCUUAUCCAAAGUGAUUUGAGAAUAUGAAUGUAUGAAACCAUGUAUUUAAGAAUGAAUUCUUGUUGAGAGCAUGAUUUUCAGUGAAUUCCCUUUUAUUAUGAAUUUUUCAGAUUUCUCAUAGCAUAUGAAUUGUUUUGCAAUGUAUCCUUGAAAAGCACUAUAUGAAAUGAAUGAACUCUUGUUAUGAUUUAAAGGUGGUUUUAAAUCACUAAAGAGGGAAUCUACCAUGAGUGUUUAAUGUUCAUAAUUCAUGUAAUGAAAGAGUGCGUGGAUUUGCUAAAGGCACUAGAUCACCAUAUGUUGAUGAAGUUUUUGAAUGAUUUUGACUUGAGUUUCGAAACACAAAUUCUUCUAUAUUAGUUGCAUGUUAUUGGUGGUCUAAAUUAUGCUUUAAAAUAAAGAUUUAGCUUAAUGUAUUAUGGCUCAGAAAUCAUGACUUGCAAGUCUUGGUAUGACGAUACCGAUUCAGACCACUGCCAUAUCAAUCUCAGACUAAUAGACAUUUCAGACUAUCAUAAUUUUAGACAUUCAGAAUGUUGUAUGUACAGAAAAGGUUAAAAAUGGACAUACAGAGAUGUUAGGUGGUUCCCUGAAGAGGGCUUGAGUUCAAGCAACUCAUUACCUAAAACCGUGGUUUGCCGACCCGGGUAUAUUAUUAUAUGCUGGCUUAAGUGUCGCAUGGCAUAUCAGACUCAGGAACUCCAACCCUUGCGGAAUACUCGGGUUGGAGGCUUCCCCAUAGAGUCAAUGGCGGAUUCCAUAUCGCCUGUGGAAUAUCAGACUUGUAGGGGAUACCACCUAACUCAGAAGUAAUACACAGAUCAGAGUUUGAGAUUUAUAGACAGGUUACAUGUUUUCAGAAGGUGCCCAUGUGUUUUUCAGAAACUGUUUUAUGCAUAUUGUUUGAUGAAAAUUUGCACUCACGUAUUAUAUAUAUAUAUAUCUCUCAGAGUUCAGUUAGUGAGCUUUCUUUCCUUCGGAAGGCCUAGUCAUUUAGGUAUUUAUUUCAGUAUGGCUUUUGGUCUGCUGGGGCCUUGUACCAGUUAUUUAGAAAGUAUGUCAAUAGAUAUUUUGCAGACUGUUGCAGAUGUUUAUUAAAUAUUGUUGGGCAUGUUUUCAGGCCUUUAAAUGUUUUAAAUUAUUGACCAUGUUUUCGUAUUAUUGUGUCUAUUCUGUAUUACUUUGAUCAUAUAAGUUAUGUGCAUGAUUACCAGAUAGACAGAGGAUGUGCCGAGCCUUCGGGUUUGGGAAUGAUCGUCAUGGCCAGGGCCCCGGUUCGGGUCGUGACAAUUCUGGAUUUUUGGUUCCUUGCAGUUUUUGUUUUCACCAUGGCAUUUUUCUAAGAUUUACUUCAUUUCUCCUUUUAUCUUCAGUAGAUUUUCUCUUUGAUUUUUCUGAAAUUUGGCAUAGUUAUAAGUAUUUCUGUGACUUUCAUUGUGGUAUCGUGUUGCAAUCUUAUUUUAGCUGUAAUAGUACUAAUAAGGUGGAUAUAUCGUUUACUUGUUUUAGAACCGUGGUGCUGGGCUAGUUUGUGUGCUCCUAGAUUGAUUCAACAAUUAUAACAAAGUAAUCAUCGGAAGGAGGGAAGGGGAUUCAUAUCUAUUAUAUGAAUCCUUAUAUACAACAACAUACCUAGUGCAAAUCCUACAUGUGGGAUGUGGGAAGGGUAGGGUAUACACAAACCUUGCUCCUACAUUGGGAGGCAAAGUGGUUGUUAUUGAUUGAUCCUUAGUUCAAGGAAAAGCAUAUCAAAACUAAUAUAAAAAGAAAUAACAUAAAUGAAAAAAUCUUGGCAAAUACUAUAGAAUUUAAACCUUGAAUAUACAACUUAUCCUGUUACCCUAUCCCAGUGCCACCUAUUUGUACCAACACAAGUGUUAACUAACUUUCUCUACCAAGGCUUGAACAAAUCAGACGAAAUAACAACUCACGAGGAAUUUUUGUGUCCGUUGGGGUUUGAACAUUAGAUCUCAUAGGUCUCAAUCCAUUUCAUUGACCAAUAGAGCUCACCUUUGAGUGAAUUAUGGUGGAUAGAUUUAUUGAUUACCAUGGGGAGAAAAUGUGCAUCCAAUUCAGUCUCCAUUAACAACAAACUCUAAAAAACACUUUUUUACUUGUGGAUUUUUUUGUUAAAACUUCUUUUUCAUUAUUUAGAGUACAUGGAUAUUUUGCGUUAUUUGUAUAUUUCUUUGCAUAUGACUAUUAAUUAUUAUUUUGCCAUGUUGUGCAGCAUACAAUAUGUCUAAUUUGUGGUAACAAAGGAUACUCCACCACAUCAAACUAUGUCACACUGCCAAAUCUACUCUGCAGAGUGUAAUGUGGUAGAAUUGCAGAGUCUCAUUACCAUUGAUAACAUUUUAAGCCAAAAAUGUUACUGUCAGUAACUGUCACACCCCUUUUUGAAUAAAAAAAGAAUCAUUUUAAUAUUUUAAAUUUGAAAGAGUUUUUAUUAUUAAAGUGAUAAAAUGAAGAUUUAUUUCGAAAAAGAUUCAUUUCACAAUUAUAUUCAGAGUUGCCACCUGACAUAAAUCUGGUGUGCCAAGUCUUCUUUGAAAAGUCCUUUUUCAAAAUGAUUUGACUCUUUAAAAGUGGUUUGCAAACAAAGAUUUUGGUUAAGAAAUUCUGCUGACCGAGGGGAAGGUGUUAGGCACCCCUCGGUCCCGUGGUUCGACCACGGUCACUUUGUGGAGUAUAUGUCUAAUUCGACACUAAGAGUGUAUAAACAACAUAAAACACACAACAAUCAAACAACAAACACAAACAAAACAAAUCCCCAAAAAUAUAAUGUCCAUUCCAAUUUAUACAGUCUCAAAAUACAAAAAUGUAAAAAUGUAAACCUACACUAAUUCUAAACUACGCUCCAAUGCUUACCCGAUGCCUCGAGCCUUGAUCACGAGCAUCUCUGCGUACAUAAUACUUCGAGGCAUUCCCGUCGAGUGAAUACAAAUGACGUGGGGACAUUCCCGGACAAAAUGAAUGCACUUUCAAUUUUUGUGAUAAAGUAGAAAGAAUCCUUCACACCCACAUUCAAACAUUUAACAAAAACAUAAUGCUAAAUUUGCCUACCCAAUCUACCAUUUUCCUAUUAAUCUUUCGACUUAAAAUAUAAUCCUAUCGAGUACAAAAAAUUGAUAUUUAUUUCGAAUUAAACAAAACAACAAUAAAUCAAAAUUAAUCCAAAUUCACUUUUUAUCAAGUUUUCAACUCUCACCCCGAUUCUGUUAACCAAUUACCGAUUUCAAUUAUCCCAAAGAUAUCGUUUUCAUCCAAAUUAUACCAUUCGAGAUUAAUCAUUCAACACAAACACAUAUCAAACAACAAAUCAUCCAAACAAAUAAAACAACAGUAUCAAAUCACAACCAUAAUCACAUGAAAAUUAAGAAAAAUAGAGUUAGAAAUUGGACCUUUAGGAAUCAAUGUGUUGUUCGAUUAAAUAAGACGAAGCACGGGCCAAUAACCAGUCGAACCUCAAAUGAUGAACCCACAACUUGAACAAUCCCAACCUCGGUAUGGCUUCAGUGUUUUCCACCAAAAUUGCAACAAAAUUCACGACGAUCAACAAAAUCCGUUUAUAAAUUUUGAUGAGGGUUCGAUUGUGGACGGGGCUGGGUCGUUGUUUUCAUAUCACCGGAGCGCCGUCCAGCUCAACUGGUCGGAAUUUUUAGAUUUUUGAGGGGGCACUGUUUUCACUUCGCCGGAGCUCCGGCGAGCUCGGUGGUGUAGGAAAUCGAAGCAAACGGGUCAAAUUUCUGAUCCCUUCGAUCCCCCUUUCUCCCUCUCUCUCCUUUUCCGAUCAUCGAUCACCCUUUACGGUUUUCUUCUCCCUCAGUCUCUCUCAAAUCUCCAUUUUUAUUCUCUCUUCUGGUUUAGCGUGUGUGUAAUUUGUGGGUAAUUUGUGUAUUGGUGUGUGUUUAUGGUGUAUUCAGUGUGUGUGUGCGCGAAGAAGAAGAAAAGAAAAAGGAAAUCGAGUGUUCAAAAAAAUGGCCUCCCUUUUUUGGUGUUCUCUUCACUGGUUUUUAGUGUGUAUUAGUGUGUAAUAUUUUGUAUUGUUGUGGUAUGGUGAAUUCUAUCUAUGGCUGUGGGAGUGAUUCGGAGAAUAUUGUGUGGUUUCUCCUUAUUUUAUUCUAUGAAGGUGUAUGGCAGUCGAUCGAGGAGCCCUCUAAGUUCUAUGGUG
rnacentral:lncRNA from 1 species